UAACCUAGUAGGUGGAGGAACACUUUAUAAUCACAAUCUGAUAAAGAGCAGAAAAAAUAACAACAAUACAUGUAAAAGCAUUACACAGUGUAGUUUAUAAGCCAAGCCUCUAUAAACAGAGAUUAGAAUACCCUUUAAAAGUAAAAAAUACAAAAAGAGGAAAAACAUUUUGCAGCAAUUCUCCAUCUUGUUUCCUAAAAAUGAAGGCUACCUACAUAUACUGUUUUCAAAGUGUUUUCUCUAACGGCUAUGAAUAGCUGAGGAGAUCGCUUUCAACAGGGAAGCCUAUCUAAGGAGGUGUGACAGGUGGUCCAGAUGAUGCAGUUCAGCUGGCAUGCAGGAUUUGGAGUGGUGAUGGCACUUUGUUAUGCUGACUUUCUAUGGUUUGCUCACAGAGCUUAUGUUGCACCUGUGAGGUACUUCCUUGCAUGUGUGUAAGCACAUAACCUUAAGCAAGCCAUCUUAAUGUGCUUGUCAUAUUGGUCAUAUGACUGCCUGUAACAUGGACCCUUUGCUGGAGUUGCUAUAAUUUCCUCUGCAGCCCUUACUGGAGUACAAGUGUUACGCUGGCUGUACAGCAUACCUAAGUGGCAUUGAGCUGUUUUACACUAUGAUAGCUUUAACAUUUAGAGAUGUGCCAUAGUGUUGUGAUCAGUUUCUGAAUGCCUCCUAUAGAGGUACUAAGCACCGACUCUCCCCCACAAAAAAAUUGAGUUGUUACAUGUGAGGUAUUACUACUCCUGCACUGCAGCUGCACAAGCAUAAUCCUUUACUAUGAACAUUUCUUCAUGUCAUAACCUUAUUGAGAAGUGUUGCUAAAGUAGUUACUGAUAAACUGCUAAAAAUAUCACCUUGUGCUACCACCAAAAUCAGAACUGUAAGGACUUAAUGUCUCUACAGUAUUAACAAAUCAGUCAUUCAUUUCAUCUCUAUUACAUUAUUUACAUGUUCUAUUUAAAAUCUACCUUGCAAUGGAAACAGUAAACUUUAUGUAUAUAUGUGUGUACACGUGUUUAAAGCAGUACAUUUUCUUUGUAACUAGUGCAUUUGUCUUUUAAAACAAGGUGUCUUUGUAAACACUGCAAGUUCAUUUAAAUUUGCAAAUGUUCCAUUAAACAAUUGUAUAAUUACAAAUUCUGAACUAUAUAAUGCAGGCAUAUGUCAGACAAUAAAGAUUUCACAAGACUU